rnacentral:tRNA from 1 species
GUCACAGUAGCGCAAUGGAUAGCGCGUUGAACUUUUAAUCCGAAGGUCGUGGCCUAGAAUCCCACCUGGGAUGGACU